rnacentral:rRNA from 1 species
AGAACGAACGCUGGCGGCAUGCCUAAUACAUGCAAGUCGAACGAACACUUCGGUGUUAGUGGCGCACGGGUGCGUAACGCGUGGGAAUCUGCCCUUGGGUUCGGAAUAACAGUUGGAAACGACUGCUGAUACCGGAUGAUAUCGAAAGAUCAAAGAUUUAUCGCCCAGGGAUGAGCCCGCGUAGGAUUAGCUAGUUGGUGAGGUAAAGGCUCACCAAGGCGACGAUCCUUAGCUGGUCUGAGAGGAUGAUCAGCCACACUGGGACUGAGACACGGCCCAGACUCCUACGGGAGGCAGCAGUAGGGAAUAUUGGACAAUGGGCGCAAGCCUGAUCCAGCAAUGCCGCGUGAGUG